AAAGGUGGAGGCUACUGCCUGUGGCUCUACUCCAUAGGCAACGAUGAAGGGGCUGCUCGUUUUGACUGCGCUGUUUGUGGCCGUUUUCGGCAAGGAGACUUUUGAGGGGGACCAGGUACUUCGUAUCACUGCGAGGGAUGAGGUCCAGCUCACUCUUCUGAAGGAUCUGUCUGAGAUGGAAUAUCUCCAGUUGGAUGUGUGGAUGGAGACCACUGACCUCCCCACUUCUGUGGACAUCAGAGUUCCCUUCACCAGCCUGCAGACCGUCAAGGCCUUCCUGGAGACCGAGGACAUUGAGUACUUCAUCAUGAUCAAGGACCUGCAGGUUAUGCUGGAUGAGGAGAAGGAGCAGAUGCUGAGUUCUGCCCGCGCCACUGCCCCCAGAACCAGUGAUGACUACGACUACUCCAACUACCACACCAUAGCCGACAUCUACGCUUUCCAGGACAUGCUGGUGGCUGAGAAUCCCAACCUGGUUAGCAAGAUUGUGAUUGGCCAGAGCUACCAGGGACGCCCCUGAAUGUGCUCAAGUUUAGCACUGGUGGAACCAACAAACCUGGUAUCUGGCUUGACACUGGAAUCCACUCCAGGGAAUGGGUGACACAGGCUAGCGGCACCUGGUUCGCCAAGAAGAUUGUGACCGACUACGGACGUGACGCCGCCCUCACCGCCAUCCUGGACAAGAUGGACAUCUUCCUGGAGAUUGUGACCAACCCUGACGGCUACUACUACACCCACACUAGCAACCGUAUGUGGCGUAAGACCAGGAAGCCCAACCCUGGCUCUUCCUGCAUUGGAACUGACCCCAACAGAAACUGGGAUGCUGGUUUUGGAGGUCCCGGUGCCAGUGACAGCCCCUGCUCUGAGACUUACCGUGGAUCCAAGGCUCACUCUGAGUCUGAGGUCAAGUCCAUCGUGGACUUUGUCAAGUCUCAUGGCAACCUGCAGGCUUUCGUGUCCAUCCAUUCCUAUUCCCAGAUGCUCCUCUACCCCUAUGGUUACACCAGGACCCCCUGCAAGGACGAGAGCGAGCUGCACAACCUGGCCAGGAAGGCUAUCACUGAUCUGGCUUCCCUGUACGGAACCUCCUACAGAUACGGCAGCAUAAUCAACACCAUCUAUCAGGCUAGUGGUGGUACCAUUGAUUGGACCUACAACCAGGGCGUCAAGUACUCCUACACCUUUGAGCUGAGAGACACCGGUCGCUAUGGUUUCAUCCUGCCAGCUAACCAGAUCCUUCCUACUGCCAAGGAGACUUGGCUGGCUCUGAUGGCCAUCAUGGAGCAUACCAAGGACAACACCAACUAGAUGGGUCACCACGACAACCUACAGGACACUCUGUCAUUGUACUGUUGUACAUAUAUAGGAAAAGCCUAGAUGUACCAUUAAGUCUACCAUGGUUCUUUCCAGGCCAGAAAGAGAUCAAUAAAUAUCAACUGUUAUACCUGA